rfam:Picea glauca, whole genome shotgun sequence.
GUCAAGAUGGCCGAGUUGGUCUAAGGCGCCAGUUUCAGGUACUUGUCCCAAAGGGCAUGGGUUCGAAUCCCCUUCUCGACA